rnacentral:rRNA from 1 species
UACGUAGGGGCCAAGCGUUGUCCGGAUUUAUUGGGCGUAAAGAGCUCGUAGGUGGUUCGGCAAGUCAGUUGUGAAAUCUCCGCGCUCAACGCGGAGGGGUCAGCUGAAACUGCUGUGACUUGAGUCUGGUAGGGGAGUGUGGAAUUCCCGGUGUAGCGGUGAAAUGCGCAGAUAUCGGGGAGGAACACCAGUCGGCGAAGGCG